GUCAGAAUGGCCGAGCGGUCUAAGGCGCCAGACUCAAGGUUGUGCACCUUCUCCAAAACAGAGAGAUUUCUGCUCUCCGAAUGGAGGCGUGGGUUCAAAUCCAACUUCUGACA
rfam:Astyanax mexicanus Tnplaced_Scaffold4062, whole genome shotgun sequence.